rnacentral:rRNA from 1 species
UGAUCCUGGCUCAGGAUGAACGCUGGCGGCGUGCUUAACACAUGCAAGUCGAACGGGCUCUUCGGAGCUAGUGGCGGACGGGUGAGUAACGCGUGAGAAUCUGCCUACAGGACGGGGACAACAGUUGGAAACGACUGCUAAUACCCGAUGUGCCGAGAGGUGAAACAUUUAUGGCCUGUAGAUGAGCUCGCGUCUGAUUAGCUAGUUGGUGGGGUAAGGGCCUACCAAGGCGACGAUCAGUAGCUGGUCUGAGAGGAUGAUCAGCCACACUGGGACUGAGACACGGCCCAGACUCCUACGGGAGGCAGCAGUGGGGAAUUUUCCGCAAUGGGCGCAAGCCUGACGGAGCAACGCCGCGUGGGGGAGGAAGGUUUUUGGACUGUAAACCCCUUUUCUCAGGGAAGAAGAAAGUGACGGUACCUGAGGAAUAAGCCUCGGCUAAUUCCGUGCCAGCAGCCGCGGUAAUACGGGAGAGGCAAGCGUUAUCCGGAAUUAUUGGGCGUAAAGCGUCCGCAGGCGGUUAAUCAAGUCUGUUGUCAAAGCGUGGGGCUCAACCUCAUACAGGCAAUGGAAACUGAUUGACUAGAGUAUGGUAGGGGUAGCGGGAAUUCCAGGUGUAGCGGUGAAAUGCGUAGAUAUCUGGAAGAACACCAGCGGCGAAAGCGCGCUACUGGGCCAUAACUGACGCUCAUGGACGAAAGCUAGGGGAGCGAAAGGGAUUAGAUACCCCUGUAGUCCUAGCCGUAAACGAUGAACACUAGGUGUUGCGUGAAUCGACCCGCGCAGUGCCGUAGCCAACGCGUUAAGUGUUCCGCCUGGGGAGUACGCACGCAAGUGUGAAACUCAAAGGAAUUGACGGGGGCCCGCACAAGCGGUGGAGUAUGUGGUUUAAUUCGAUGCAACGCGAAGAACCUUACCAGGGUUUGACAUCCCCCGAAUCUCUUGGAAACGAGAGAGUGCCUUCGGGAGCGGGGAGACAGGUGGUGCAUGGCUGUCGUCAGCUCGUGUCGUGAGAUGUUGGGUUAAGUCCCGCAACGAGCGCAACCCACGUUUUUAGUUGCCAUCAUUCAGUUGGGCACUCUAGAGAAACUGCCGGUGACAAACCGGAGGAAGGUGUGGACGACGUCAAGUCAUCAUGCCCCUUACAUCCUGGGCUACACACGUACUACAAUGCUCCGGACAGCGAGACGCGAAGCCGCGAGGUGAAGCAAAUCUCCCAAACCGGGGCUCAGUUCAGAUUGCAGGCUGCAACUCGCCUGCAUGAAGGCGGAAUCGCUAGUAAUCGCAGGUCAGCAUACUGCGGUGAAUACGUUCCCGGGCCUUGUACACACCGCCCGUCACACCAUGGAAGUUGGCCAUGCCCGAAGUCGUUACCCUAACCGUUCGCGGAGGGGGGCGCCGAAGGUAGGGCUGAUGACUGGGGUGAAGUCGUAACAAGGUAGCCGUACCGGAAGGUGUGGCUGGAUCACCUCCUUUCAGGGAGACCUACCCUACUGAUAACUGCGAGAAGCGCAAGCUUCAUAUUUGAUAGAGCGGUAUCAGAGGUCAACCUAGGUCGGUCGAGUCUUUCGAGCAAGGGCUUCUAAACUAGUCUGGGUUUUUCCUAGACAAAGAUGUUUGGGUCAAGAGCAGGAUGUGGGCUAUUAGCUCAGGUGGUUAGAGCGCACCCCUGAUAAGGGUGAGGUCCCUGGUUCAAGUCCAGGAUGGCCCACCUAGCUUUUUCAUGAGAGUGAAGAAGUGAUGUGGGGGUUUAGCUCAGUUGGUAGAGCGCCUGCUUUGCAAGCAGGAUGUCAGCGGUUCGAGUCCGCUAACCUCCACCAAAAGACUGCUUAAAAUUCAAAAAAUCAGUUCAGCAUCUUAAGUUUUCGAUUUUCGUAUCGGAAGGUUAGGAAUGCUGAGUUGAAAGACUCAGCAAGAACCUUGAAAACUGCAUAGAGAUGAGAGUGUAGGUAUCACAGACACCAUCUUCAUCAUCACUUGAUUGAGUCAAGUGGGAGAAAUGGAAGUCAGAAAGAAGUA